rnacentral:rRNA from 1 species
AGGAUCAUUAUAGUACAACCGAGGUGCGGAGGGCUGUCGCUGACUUUUUGUCGUGCACGCCCGAAGCGCUCUCACACAAUAUCCAUCUCACCCAUUUGUGCAUCAUCGCGUGGGUCCUGCUUUUUGGCUUGUUCCGAGGAGGGGGGCUCGCGUUUUCACACAAAACACCCUUUUAAUGCAGUGUAGAAUGUUCUUGCGAUGACUCGCAAUAAAUACAACUUUCAACAACGGAUCUCUUGGCUCUCGCAUCGAUGAAGAACGCAGCGAAAUGCGAUACGUAAUGUGAAUUGCAGAAUUCAGUGAAUCAUCGAAUCUUUGAACGCACCUUGCGCCCCUUGGCAUUCCGAGGGGCACACCCGUUUGAGUGUCGUGACAUUCUCAAAAAGAACCCUUCUUGGUCUUGCGAUCGGGAAAGGCCUCUUUUGGACUUUGGAGGCUAUUGCUGGUCCCCCCUUGAUAGCCAGCUCCUCUUAAAUGAAUUAGUAGGGACCACUUUGCCGACCCUAGACGUGAUAAGAUGUUUCUGCGUCUUGGGUAUUCGCUCUGUCCUUUGGAAACCUGCUUCUAACCGUCUUGUGAAAAGACAGCGUUCGAGCCUUUCUCGUUGAUCGGGCAAGGCUUGACUUGAUGAACCUUGACCUCAAAUCGGGUGAGACUACCCGCUGAACUUAAGCAUAUCAAUAAGCGGAGGAAAAGAAACUAACAAGGAUUCCCCUAGUAACUGCGAGUGAAGCGGGAAAAGCUCAAAUUUAAAAUCUGGUGGCCCUCGGCCAUCCGAGUUGUAAUCUAGAGAAGCGUUUUCCGCGCUGGACCGUGCACAAGUCUCCUGGAAUGGAGCGUCAUAGAGGGUGAGAAUCCCGUCUUUGGCACGGACGCACCAGGGCUUCUGCGAUGCGCUCUCGAAGAGUCGAGUUGUUUGGGAAUGCAGCUCAAAAUGGGUGGUGAACUCCAUCUAAAGCUAAAUAUUGGCGAGAGACCGAUAGCGAACAAGUACCGUGAGGGAAAGAUGAAAAGCACUUUGGAAAGAGAGUGAAACAGUACGUGAAAUUGUUGAAAGGGAAACGCUUGAAGUCAGUCGCGUCGACCGAGACUCAGCCUUGCCUCGGCUUGGUGUACUUCUCGGCUGACGGGUCAGCAUCAAUUUUGCCCCUCGGAUAAUGGCAAGGGAAAGGUGGCACCUUUACGGGUGUGUUAUAGUCUCCUGUCGCAUGCGAGGGUCGGGAUUGAGGAACUCAGCACGCGCUUCGGUGUUCGGGGCCGCUUGGCUCCACGCUACGUGCUAGAUGCG